rnacentral:tRNA from 1 species
UGCAGAAUGAAGCCGAGAGGUUCGGCGGCGGUUUGCUAAACCGUUUCGGCCCGAAAGGGCUGGGGUUCGUGUCCUCCGUUCUGCGCCA